rnacentral:rRNA from 1 species
UACGUAGGGGGCUAGCGUUGUCCGGAUUCAUUGGGCGUAAAGCGCGCGUAGGCGGCUUUGCAAGUCGGCCGUGAAAUCUCCGGGCUCAACUCGGAGGGGUCGGGCGAGACUGCGAGGCUCGAGGUGGGCAGAGGGCAGUGGAAUUCCGGGUGUAGUGGUGGAAUGCGUAGAGAUCCGGAGGAACACCAGUGGCGAAGGCGGCUGCCUGGGCCUGGCCUGACGCUGAGGCGCGAAAGCCAGGGGAGCAAACGGG